rnacentral:rRNA from 1 species
AAAACAUCGCUCUCUGAUAUAAAGCUUAUUUAAGAAUAUAGAGAGUCGGGCCUGCCCAGUGACAUUAGAUGUUAAACGGCCGCGGUACCCUGACCGUGCAAAGGUAGCAUAAUCACUUGCCUUUUGAUUGAGGGCUAGUAUGAAUGGCUUGACGAGAGCUGGACUGUCUCUUUUUAAAUUUAUAAAAAUUAACUUUUAGGUGAAGAGGCCUAAAUUCAACUGAGUGACGAAAAGACCCUAUUGAGCUUUAGUUAAUUAACAAAAUUUUAACAUUAGUUUUUUCGCACUUGGAUCUGCAUAUAUGUUUUGUUAAAAAUCUUUAGUUGGGGUGACUUAGGAGUAAAAAAAACUUCCUUUAAUUACUUAAGUAUGCAAGGUAUUCAUACUGAUUUUAUAGAUCCAGUAUUUACUGAUCAAAGGAAAAAGUUACCAUAGGGAUAACAGCGUUAUCUUUCUGGAGAGUUCUUAUUGAAGGAAAGGUUUACGACCUCGAUGUUGGACUAAGAUAUCCUAGAGGUGCAGAAGCUUCUGAUGGUUAGUCUGUUCGACUAUUAAAAUCUUACGUGAUCUGAGUUCAGA